AUUGAACGCUGGCGGCAGGCCUAACACAUGCAAGUCGAGCGGGGUUUUCGGACCUAGCGGCGGACGGGUGAGUAAUGCGUAGGAAGCUGCCCGAUAGAGGGGGAUACCAGUUGGAAACGACUGUUAAUACCGCAUAAUGUCUACGGACCAAAGUGUGGGACCUUCGGGCCACAUGCUAUCGGAUGCGCCUACGUGGGAUUAGCUAGUUGGUGAGGUAAUGGCUCACCAAGGCGACGAUCUCUAGCUGGUUUGAGAGGAUGAUCAGCCACACUGGAACUGAGACACGGUCCAGACUCCUACGGGAGGCAGCAGUGGGGAAUAUUGGACAAUGGGCGCAAGCCUGAUCCAGCCAUGCCGCGUGUGUGAAGAAGGCCUUCGGGUUGUAAAGCACUUUAAGUUGGAGGAAGGGCAGUAAGUUAAUACCUUGCUGUUUUGACGUUACCGACAGAAUAAGCACCGGCUAACUUCGUGCCAGCCGCCGCGGUAAGAC
rnacentral:rRNA from 1 species